rnacentral:tRNA from 1 species
UAGUUAAUGAACUUGAAUAAGUAUAUGUUUUGAAAGCAUAAAAUAAAGACAAAACCUCUUUAUUAACU